rnacentral:misc_RNA from 1 species
UCCGAGUUGACCCCGGCAGUCUCCCAUGAGUCCCCGGCAUAACCCGCUGGCAACAUAGGAUAAGGGUUGCGCUCGUUGCGGGACUUAACCCAACAUCUCACGACACGAGCUGACGACAACCAUGCACCACCUGUGUACGAGUGUCCAAAGAGAACCCCAUCUCUGGGGCUUUCUCGUACAUGUCAAGCCUUGGUAAGGUUCUUCGCGUUGCAUCGAAUUAAUCCGCAUGCUCCGCCGCUUGUGCGGGCCCCCGUCAAUUCCUUUGAGUUUUAGCCUUGCGGCCGUACUCCCCAGGCGGGGCACUUAAUGCGUUAGCUGCGGCACAGAACCAGUGGAACUGGCCCCACACCUAGUGCCCAACGUUUACGGCAUGGACUAC